CAGCCGCCGCGGGAAUACGGAGGGUGCAAGCGUUAAUCGGAAUUACUGGGCGUAAAGCGCACGCAGGCGGUCUGACAAGUCAGAUGUGAAAUCCCCGGGCUUAACCUGGGAACUGCAUUUGAAACUGUCAGGCUGGAGUCUUGUAGAGGGGGGUGGAAUUUCAGGUGUAGCGGUGAAAUGCGUAGAGAUCUGGAGGAAUACCGGUGGCGAAGGCGGCCCCCUGGACAAAGACUGACGCUCAGGUGCGAAAGCGUGGGGAGCAAACAGGAUUAGAUACCCGUGUAGUCCCUGUCUCUUAUAC
rnacentral:rRNA from 1 species